CCAGGCCGCGUGAGCGCCCCUCCCCACCCGGGCUUCCCGGCUGCACGGCCCCCUUUCGGUGCUGUGACGAUUCACGGGUGGGUGAGUACAAGUGAAGGUCCUUCUUUCAACGCCUGGCACAUAAGCCCAAGGCUUACACCUGACCAUGCACAUGCCUUUCCCACUCCUGUUCCCACUGCCCAUGACCUCGGCCCGCGAUGCUUCAUUCAACGCUGUGGGAAGGCUGAGAGCACUCCCACUCCUAGGAGCCUACCCUUCAGUGAUACCAACCCAUGAGCACAAAGACGAUGUGCAAGGAUUCCUACAGCAUGCAGACCACUACGUGCUGUUUCUGCUCCCGUGACAGACAUGGCUAAUCAAUCAAAGCACCCUUUCUCACAAAGC